AAAAUUCACUCGGAAUCCUGAGUGGUAGAAUGACAUCAUUGGUCUUAUCUGAAGCAAAGUAUUCAAUUCCCUCUUAAUUUGCUAUAGGAAGCCGUUUGAUACUUUGUUUAUGUUGGUCUAUUGGCUCAUUUGGAAGGGAACGUACUGCAAGAAUCUUUGAUCAGAAGAGAAGCACAGCAGCCCAACUAUUUGCUGACAUCAAGGAUGGAAUCUCCAUUUGGAAGGAAGCUGUUGUAGGCCACCGCGGAAUGCGGCACUCAUCUCGACAACCUCAAGUCAUCGCCAACAAGGGAAGGGGGUGACGGUGGCCUAGAUGUGGCUAGCCGCAUGGCUGAGGAGAUGUGGGAAGGGGGAGGGCCUCAGCGAUGGCGGCCCAGGCGUAUCUAGCCUGUGAGGGAGGAGAUGCGGGAAAUGGGAGGGCCUCAAAGAAGGUGGCUCAGGUGAAGCAUGCUGGCAUGGUAGAGAAGAUGGGGAAAUAGCGCAGCAAGGGGAAGGUGAGGGGUCAUCAACCUCAAGCUUCUGACUCCUCUUUAUUGUUGCUGCCUUCUGUAGGGCGGGGUUCAUCUGGCAUAGCCUCACCAAGCUUGAGUUGGUGGGCAUGGACCGGGCACAAGCCCCUCGAUUUGAAUGGUCUUGGUCCAUUGUUCCAAGCCCGAUGUCGACACCUUCUACUCAGAUCCAACAACAUGCGGCAGUGAGCUCCCUUUCAGCCUCUCCAUGUGAGCAGGCAAGUUCUAGCUUUGCUUUCAUCUCUCCGUGCCGCUGACAUCGCCCCUAGUUGCCUCUGGUCAAGCUCACCUUGGCAGCUGCCCUCGAGCUCUCACAGUCUCAUCGUAGUUUGUACAUCUGAAUGAAGAAGAAGAAAACGGAAAGGAAAAGAAGUAAAAUAUUUUUUUAUGAAUAGGCCCCACUUAUCAGUCAGUGUAGAAUUGCUGAAUAUGCCAUGUCAUGAUGUCAAUGUCUAUAUGGAAUGCCACGUAGGAUCCCAGAGGGACCGUGGCAAUUUAAUACCGGAAUGACACAAUUUGAUAAGUUUUCUGGACCUAGGUGUACAUUUUGAGAGAUUAGGGAUCUAUACGACACACCCAUAUAAGUUGAA